rnacentral:rRNA from 1 species
AUCGAACGCUGGCGGCGGGCCUAACACAUGCAAGUCGAACGAGUGGCGGACGGGUGAGUCAUUUCUGGGAAACUGGCUGAUGGAGGGGGAUAACUACUGGAAACGGUCGCUACUACCUCAUACCAUCAGAUGUGCCCAGCUGGGUUUUGCUUGUUGGUGGGGUAAAGGCUCACCAAGGCCACGAUCCCUAGCUGGCCUGAGAGGAUGAGCGGCCACACUGGAACUGAGACACGGGCCAGACUCCUACGGGAGGCAGCAGUGGGGAAUAUUGCACAAUGGACGCAAGCCUGACGGAGCCAUGCCGCGUGAAUGAAGAAGGCCUUCGGGUUGUAAAGUACUUUCAGCGGGGAGGCGUUACCCGCAGAAGAAGCACCGGCUAACUCCGUGCCAGCAGCCGCGGUAAUAC